rnacentral:lncRNA from 1 species
AAGGAGAAAAUAUCUGAGUCUAAUGAUCUGUUUAAAGCCCAUUUUGUUGUUGAUGUUGUUUUUGUUUUGUUUUGUGGCUAGUGAAACAGGACAAUGGAGGGAAUAUGAAAAAGAACAAGAUAAAGAAGAAGAGGAGCAGGAACACAAAAGGCUUCAAAGCUCCAGGUGUGAACAGAGAAGGAGGCUGUUGUCUGGGAAAUGCUGAGCAGAAGCACGUAAAGAAGGAGGAAGGGUGUACAAGUCACAAGUCAUCAAAAGCCCUGUUGGCUACGAGUCCUCACCAGCUAAUGACCCGGUCUGUUGACUGCCCAGAUUUGAUGCUUCAAAUUUUAACUACCAAGGCUACUGGAGAUAUUGCUUUGAAGAAAGAUUGCAAAUUGAUGGUCAUUCUUCUCAUAUAAUCUUUCUCCAGAAGGAAUUAUUUACACUGAAAAUUUUUUGGAGAAUAGAAAAAGCUUCUGAGGACAAAUGAAUAGAAGUAAAUGUUGGUUAAAGAAGAAAGCUAAUUAUUUUUCUUAGCUGUGGAACUUUUAGGUGUUUAUGAAAUGCUAAUAUAGGUUGUGAAUCUUUAAGAGGAUGACAUCCUAUUGACAAAAGAAAAUCUACCAACCGCUCAAGAAAGCUGUGUGCGCCAGAGAAAAUUUUGCAAAAAUCUUUCCUGGAAAAAGGAAGGACAUUUCAAUCUGUUGAGUUUUUCUUGACGUUGAUGGGAAUGGUAAACAGCUGGGGUCUGGAUGGCACACCAUGGGAUCACAAUCAAAAGGUCGAAAAUGAUACCAUUAAA